AUUGAAAGACCCGCUAAUAUGCAAGUAAGAAAACCUCGUACUAAUAGAGGUUGGCAUCAAAGGAGUGAGCAAAACAAUGACAUCCUUGAUUCAUUGAAUGACUCAUCCGAGCGUGAGAUAGGCUUAGAUCAUAUUGAAAGGAGCGCGGACAUUCAAGUAAGAAAACCUCGUACCAAUAGAGGUUGGCAUCAAAGGACUGGGCAAAAUAAUGACAUCAUUGGUUCAUUGAAUGACUCAUCCGAGCGUGAAAUAGGUUGAAUUAAUACUUUUAUUUAGUCUUAUUAUUAUAAUAAUAAUAAUUAUCUAAUUGAUGUUGUGUAGGCUUAGAUCAUAUUGAAAGGAGUGCGGACAUUCAAGUAAGAAAACCUCGUACCAAUAGAGGUAGGCGUCAAAGGACUGGGCAAAAUAAUGACAUCAUUGGUUCAUUGAAUGACUCAUCUGAGCGUGAGAUAGUCCAAAACACAUCUGAAAAUGUCCAAGAAGUUGGUUGCAGAACAAGCAAAAAUAACUCUGAGAAUGUCACAACUGAGUUGGUAGAUGGCGGCAAUAAGAAAAAGAGGGCAAGAGGACCAACGUGCAUGCCAAAAGUUUGGGGCCUAAAUAAAAAUUUUAAUGUUUCUUUCAAUGAGCUCGGGCAACCUAAUGAUCGGAAGCAAACAAGCACGCUAGCUCAUUUUUUAGGUACUAUUGCAAGAAAUGGAUCAUUCUGCCCACUGCAUUAUACUGAUUGGAGAUUGAUGCCAAACUCAUAUAAGGAAGACAUGCUUAGAGAAGUGAAGUCGAGGUUUACUAUGCGAGCUGGCAGUGACAGUUUUAUACUACAAUCAAUUAACCAUAAGUGGAGGAAUUGGAAGUGUCAAUUGAAGAAUUUGAACUUUGACCCAAGUGUAUCUAUUGAAGAACAAUUGCUGACAGUACCAGAGAGGGUAAAUGCACAUCAAUAUAAGAAACUACUUGAUCAUUGGAAUACCGACAAAG